rnacentral:rRNA from 1 species
CCUACGGGAGGCAGCAGUGAGGAAUAUUGGUCAAUGGACGAGAGUCUGAACCAGCCAAGUAGCGUGAAGGAUGACUGCCCUAUGGGUUGUAAACUUCUUUUAUAUGGGAAUAAAAUGUUCCACGUGUGGGAUUUUGUAUGUACCAUAUGAAUAAGGAUCGGCUAACUCCGUGCCAGCAGCCGCGGUAAUACGGAGGAUCCGAGCGUUAUCCGGAUUUAUUGGGUUUAAAGGGAGCGUAGGUGGAUUGUUAAGUCAGUUGUGAAAGUUUGCGGCUCAACCGUAAAAUUGCAGUUGAAACUGGCAGUCGUGAGUACAGUAGAGGUGGGCGGAAUUCGUGGUGUAUCGGUGAAAUGCUUAGAUAUCACGAAGAACUCCGAUUGCGAAGGCAGCUCACUGGACUGCAACUGACACUGAGGCUCGAAAGUGUGGGUAUCAAACAGGAUUAGAUACCCCUGUAGUC